rnacentral:rRNA from 1 species
GGCGGCUGCUUUACACAUGCAAGUCGAACGGCAGCACGGGCUUCGGCCUGGUGGCGAGUGGCGAACGGGUGAGUAAUACAUCGGAACGUACCCAGAAGUGGGGGAUAACGUAGCGAAAGUUACGCUAAUACCGCAUACGUUCUACGGAAGAAAGUGGGGGAUCGCAAGACCUCAUGCUUUUGGAGCGGCCGAUGUCUGAUUAGCUAGUUGGUGAGGUAAAGGCUCACCAAGGCGACGAUCAGUAGCUGGUCUGAGAGGACGACCAGCCACACUGGAACUGAGACACGGUCCAGACUCCUACGGGAGGCAGCAGUGGGGAAUUUUGGACAAUGGGCGCAAGCCUGAUCCAGCAAUGCCGCGUGAGUGAAGAAGGCCUUCGGGUUGUAAAGCUCUUUUGUCAGGGAAGAAACGGUAGAGGCUAAUAUCCUUUGCUAAUGACGGUACCUGAAGAAUAAGCACCGGCUAACUACGUGCCAGCAGCCGCGGUAAUACGUAGGGUGCAAGCGUUAAUCCGGAAUUACUGGCGUAAAGCGUGCGCAGGCGGUUUGUAAGUCUGACGUGAAAGCCCCGGGCUCAACCUGGGAAUUGCGUUGGAGACUGCAAGGCUUGAAUCUGGCAGAGGGGGGUAGAAUUCCACGUGUAGCAGUGAAAUGCGUAGAGAUGUGGAGGAACACCGAUGGCGAAGGCAGCCCCCUGGGUCAAGAUUGACGCUCAUGCACGAAAGCGUGGGGAGCAAACAGGAUUAGAUACCCUGGUAGUCCACGCCCUAAACGAUGUCUACUAGUUGUCGGGUUUUAAUUAACUUGGUAACGCAGCUAACGCGUGAAGUAGACCGCCUGGGGAGUACGGUCGC